rnacentral:lncRNA from 1 species
AAUGAGAUACUGGAGAAAACCAUUAUAGAUGCUGGGGUAAUGCUUGAUGAGUUACUGAUAAUGAUGUUACAGGCGGUGGCAGUGACAGCGAUAACUGUGGUUUUGUAGUGUUUAGAGGGCAGUUUUCUUUUUGGAUCUCGGAGGACCAAAAGAUAAAGAAAGUGUAAGGUCAAAAUCUUCUUCAUCUUCACCUUCCAAAUCUUGCUGGCUAAUGAUGUUGUUGCUGCUGCUGCUGCUGCUUUGCUUUCUCUUCGUGGAGAUCUCUUGCUUAUUGGUUUCUAAAUCUUGUCGGCUUUUCAUGGUGUGAGUAAAAGAGGGAGAGAGGAAAACGAGAGAGAUGGAAUUUGAAAGGACAAUAAAAAUUGGAGAUAUAGUUAUGGAAGCAGAAUAUAUAAGAUAAAAAAGAGACUACUGGUCAUCUUUCUCUGUGUUUGUUAUGCUGUUCUUCCCCUACCGGCCGGUCACCUUUUUUACUGGGUCUUUUUCACUCUGUCUCAGCAAGUCUAUAAUUUAAUAAAAUCAAAGUUUGAAGAAGAUUUGAAAAUUUGUUUCACAUCUUUUAUCUGAAUUACAAAACAUCAAUUUUAACCCAUCAAUUCCACAAUUCCCUUCAAGCAUAUGUGAGCUAUAUCAUUUGCAAUGUGCUUUAUAAAAAAUCACAUUUAAAACCACAUCUAAUUUAAUUCUAUUCUCAAAUUAAUAAUUUUACAUCUAAAUCGUCUCUUUCUACGUCAUUUUUGUUGAAUUUUGAUGGUUCAUUCCAAUCCGCAAAGGAAUUGGAUAAUCAAAACUUUCAAUUUUAAUAUUAUAUUCAUCAUGGUCAAGAAGUUAUUUUUCCUAUUCAUAAUCUCUUAGACUCCUCACCCCUACCGAAUGAUGGGUUAAUUUUACAAUCCAUUUUCAUAUGUAUCAGAUUUUCUUCUACACAAGCUCAUCUUAUUUCGCCACCUCUUAUAGCCAUGGUUAUUUCAAUACACAGCAAGUAAAUAAAUUUCAAGAUAGUUAAAUUCUAAUAUCAAUUGACACAAAUAAAAAUACAAACAAGAAAAUAAUAAGUUAAAAAGAUAAAAUUAAAGUUGAAUAUGGUUAUCAUAUAAAAUCCUAAUUUAUAAUUUUAUUUUUAGAAUAAAAGUAUAAUAUGUUAUUCUAAAAUACAAGGUAAAUAACCUUAUUUAUACUGGUUUUAAAUUGAAAAAAAAUCUCAAUUAAUAAUUAUUAAGUUGUUUUAGGGAUACCUAAACUAAAAAGAAAAAAAAAUAGCAAUCUUAAUAUUGUUUGAUUUUCUAAAAUAAAUAGAAAAAAAUAAUCAUGAAGUAAAAAAGAUUCCUAAACUAAAUAAGAAAUAAUAAUAAUAAUUAAAAAAUAAUAUUUUUUCCCUAAAAUUCCUCCAAGCUCUAUAAACCAUAAAACUGGUCUAGACAUAUCUUAUAGCUAACUGGAUUCUUCAGAACUAUCACACCAAUUUUUAGAGCAUCAAAGUCGAAUUGAAGUAGGGUUAAGUUAUUAAUUUUAUUUAUAAAAAAAAAUUAUCAUGUGAUUUUUUUUCAAAUUCUAAAAAGUGGUAAGCAGAUGUGAUAUUAGUAUGACAACACUUACUUAGCUAUAAUACAUUAGGUUUUAAGUUGGAUUUAAUUCUGUUAAACCACGAAACACCAGCCUGCAUCAGAAACGACUGGUCGUAUUGAAAAGAGGCAAGCUUUUGCAAAUAUGAAAUAUCUCCUCCCUCCUCCCCUCUUGAUCCAUCCCCCUUGUUGAGUAAAAGCCCUUCCUUGUCUAUUUGGAGGACUUCAGGGUCCAAUAUCAAGCUUGGCAGUGGCUGUAGGAUUUACUUUUCUAGCGAUGAAGUAUAGCUCAGGCGAUACUCCCUCGGUGUUGAAUCCAAAAGAACUCCCGGCUGGAACGCCGGGGUUUCUUGGAUGUAGUAUUGGCACCAUUUAAGCCUAUGAAACUGGGUUUCGAUGAAAAUGAGUGACGCCAAGUAAAGUGAGUUUUUCUCACCUGAAAAAGGAGAGGAUGUCAUGCCACUAUCCACCGGCAUCCUUAUGGCCGCCGAGUAAAAUGCGUCUGCCGGGAGUCGAACCCGGGUCUAUUGCUUGGAAGGCAAUUAUCCUAACCGUUGGACUACAAACGCUUUUGUUGACUGAUCACUGUGUUUGAUAAAUUUUGAAUUCUGUUUCUGUCGCUUGUUUUAAAGAAAAGCGUGAAGUCGUCAUUUUAGAAUAAAUAAAUAAUUUUAAAAAAUCCUUAAAGAUAGUCCGUCCGUCGGGUCAACUCUCAAUUUGAUUUGUCAAGAAAUCCGAUUUUACGUCAGAUUAUAAAAUUAAUGUAUUGGUUUGAUUACUAUGAUUUUUAAAUUUGACGGGGGCAAAAAAAAAAAAAAAGCUCAUAUAAGAUGAGGCACCCUCUUCCUCUUCAUCAUCUAGAUUUUCCUAUACUUGUAGGUCCAAAAACAACAUAUUAUUGAUGCGAUUUAAUUCUAUUUUUUUCUGUGUUUUAAAAGUAUUUUUAAAAAAAAUUAAUUUUUUAGUUUUAAAUUAAUAUGUUUUUAGUAUUUUCAAAUUGUUUUUGAUGUGCUGAUAUCAAAAAUAAUUUUUUUAAAAUUAAAAAAUAUUAUUAGCAUGUAUUUUGAUACGAAAAGUUAUUUGAGAAUCAACCAGAACCAAAUUGCCAAACAAGCUAUCAGUAUAUGAAUGGAAAUUUUAUAGUUGGAAAAUAUGUUGCAAUGUCGCGGUCGCACAAAUUAAUUACCCUAGCUUAAAACACACAAGAUAGUAUAGAGAAAGCAAGAGGUCGAUCCCACGAGGAAGUUUGAAGUCAGAUUUUUAUGUUGUACAUUAUGUAAUUGGGGGGGAUUGAUUUGCAAUGAUUUAAACUAUGGCAGAAAUUAAACUAACAAACAAAAUCAAUUGAAAUUGAAAUAUAUCAAGAAAACAAACCUUGGUUGCAAGCACACAUCCACCAAUGAAAAUUAGAACCGAUCCUUGAAACGAAACUCCAGUUUAUAUCAUGAAUUUUAUCUUUUUUUAAUAUUGGUUAAUUAACGGAUCCGCCGUAUAACUAGCCCUAACCAACAAACAAUCACAGUGUCCGCACUAAUGAUUUAAUCCAAUGGCAGCCUUAAGAUCCAGAUAAAUUCAUUAAUCUUAACAACCAAGUUGUCAAUUUGUGUUGCUAUGAUCGAAUGUUCUCCCUAAGUUUAAUAACGUAGUUCCGCUACAAUUAUCAAGCUUAGUUGCUUCACAAGUUUAUAUACCACAACUCCGGUUUUGAUAUCAAACUUAGCAAUAGAUUGUUCACAAUAAUAACUUAGAGUCCGCUCUAGCAAUUAAGAUAAACAAUCAUAGGAAAUAUGCAUAGGAAAACAAUCAUACUCAUUCAUAACAUAAACUGAAAAUAAAAGGAAGAAUAAAUCUCACGGUUCUUGAAAUCCGAAGGUUUGUUGUGUCCUUGCAACCAAGAAAACGAGCUUAGCCUUGCAUAUCUAUUGAACAACUACUCCUAAAGAUGAAAGAAUACAUAAUUUCUGAUUUGUAGAGAGGAGAGUUUGUGUUUCCUCCCUUCUUGCUUCUUUCUACCUCCUUCUACUCACCCUCUAUUUAUACACAAAUUGUAAGUAAGAAAAUCAAAGUUCAAGUGUGAACAUCAAUAGAUGGUGGUAGUGUGAAGGCGGCUGGCGGCUGGCUGACUUGAGGUUGGUGGCUGGCUGCUGGCUGCUGGCUGCCUUGAGGUUGGUGGCUGCCUUCCUUGACCUUCUAGAAUAUUUACUAGAGGAGCUAAAUUGCUGGUCGGUUUGGAUGCUUCUGGAUGAAAUUUGGAUUCGUUUCUUCACGCAACCUGCUUGCUGGCAGAAUUCAGCUGUCAUCUUUGAAAAAUCAUAUCUCCCUCAUAUGACAUCGUUUUUGGCUGAAUUUUGGAGCGUUUAUAGAGCUUUGAGUAAGGAAUCCAAAACAAUUGAGUUUGCAUCAAUUAGACUUCUGAAGCGCCAGAUAUUGAAUUUUGAAUGGGAAAAGGUCAACAUUGGCAGACUGCGUGAUUUGACUUUGAAGGAUGUGAUUUCCAUGAUCUUUCUCUUUUUAUUUUUCUUGCAUUACAUUUCCAGACAGAAACGUAUGGAUGUUAGCUUUUUAAUUCCACUGGAAUCACUUCAUUUCGAUCUCUGAAACUCACGCUGUGCACAAAAUACCGACUGAACGUCAAAUCUGCCAAUUACCUCCAAUUUACUCCUUUUUGCAUCUUUCAUCCAAAAAUGCCUUCAAAACAUAAAACAAAGAAUAUCAAGGCAUUUUAUAUAAAUAACAUAUGCAAAACACUAGUUAAAUGCGGGUGAAACUAUCGAAUAAUAUGGUUACAUCAAAAUAGAUAUUAUGGAGAUGUAAAUUUUCUAUUAAAAUGGAGGUAGCUAGCUAGUUUUAUUACUUCUAUUCGAACCUAACCAACUGUCUGAGAAUAGUUUUCUAAAGCUGCAAGAUGUGUUCAACAUUUCCAGUUUCUACAAUGGAAUGAGUAGGCAUGUGUAAUUUCCUCGGUUAUUGGAAGACGUCAUUUCCAGUUUUUAUCUUUAAACACCAACCAAACACAACCUUAUAGAAUGGAAAGUAACAUGCAUACACAUUUUCAGUUGAAAAUCUACUCAUGCUCACUGUCUGAAAUAGUGUCUUGCAUUGCAAGUUAAUUCUGUUGGAAGUUAAGUUGAUUGCUUGUUGUUAAAGCUUCAGAAGUAAAUCAUGUGGUUAUAACGAGAAGAAUGAAGAAUGGAUGAAAGAAGAAGAUUCUGUUGCAAAGCAGUUACAGUAGUUAAAAAAUAGUUAAAUUAGUUAUAGCUGUUAUAACUUUUUUUUUUUGUUACAAACUGUUUCUUACAUGUGUAAGAAUCGUAGCCCUCAACUAAUGGAUGGUUGAGAUGAAUUGAUUCCAAAAAUCUAGAAUUAUGUUAUUAAUUACAUGUAAUGUGUAUAUAAGUAGAGUUCUGCACUAAUGGAAUAGUAAGAAAAAAGAAAUACAGAAUUCUCUUCUCAUCUUCUCUGCUAAAACUCUUCUACAAACUUUUCUUUUAGUCAUCUGAAAAUCUACAUGGUAUCAGAGCUCACAAACUGAUUCCUAAGAGGGGCGUAAACUGUGAAAAACAGAUUGACUAAAAUUGUUAAUUACUCAAAAUGAUAGGAUCAAGCUCUACUGGAGGAGAUUUAAGAACUCCACAGUUCAAUGGCACAAAUUAUGGUUUUUGGGCUGUAAAGAUGGAGACAAUCCUCAUAGCAUUCGAUCUAUGGGACGUAAUAGAAGUUGGAGUGCAAUCUCAUCAAUCACUUGAGGUUCCAAGUGAAUCAGGCGAUGAAGAGAGUGAAGCUGGGCAAACCACAUUGCAAACAUUUACUACAUCCAGAGAAGAAAAAAUCAAGAAUCCAAAAGCAUUAAGCCUUAUACAAGGAGCAUUAACAGACGAUCUUUUCCCACGUAUAAGAAAUGAGAAGACUACAAAAGGAGCUUGGGACAUCUUGAGCAGAGAAUUCAGAGGAGAUAAAAAGGUUAGAGCUGUAAAACUUCAAGUAGUGAGAGCUGACUUUGAAUACCUGAGAAUGGCAGAAAGUGAAAGCUUAGAUGGCUAUCUAUCUAAAUUCUUUGCAACCAUGAAUAACCUGAAAUCAUUAGGAGAAGAUGUAUCAGAAAACAAAAUUGUGCAGAAACUGCUAAUAAGUCUAAGCAGAAGAUAUAAGUCCAUUGUGUCAAUCAUUGAGGAGACACGAGAUCUUGAUGUUCUGAGAGUAGAAGUCAUUGCUUCUGUUAAAGUUUAUGAUAAAAAGGAGGAUCUACAUGAUGAAAGGGAUAAGCUAACAGGAACAUAAAAAGCAUUUAGCAGUUUAAAGAUUGGAAACAAUUCAUCUUAUAGCUCACACAAGGGUUUCCAAGGCAGACCUCCUCAAGAGAUGGCAAUCACAAGACAGGAGGAGACCAAAUCCAUUUCCAAACAGAAACUUAACCAACUACAACAAUUUAAGCUGGAACAACACUGUUUAAGGAAGUAGUCAAGCGAGUGUAAAACCACACUGCCAAGUCUUCCAGAAGCAACAUUUUGGAUUAUGUAGACACAAAGGAAAACCAAGAUGUGGAAAAUGCAACCGGGUUAGUCAUAUUGCAAAAGAUUGUGAGAGUCACAGUCACAAGCAGCUAGCAAAUUAUGCCAAAGAAGAGAGAGUUACCAUAGGAACCAUGUUUUAUGCUUGCCAUUCUGCAAGUUUGCAAGAUAGUGCUUGCAGCAACCACAUGACCUCUCAAGAAUCCGAACUAAUCAACAUUGAUAGAAUAAUAACCUGUAAAGUAAAGAUGGGCUCAGGAGACCUUGUGCAAGCAACUAGAAAAGGCACAUUGGUUGUGGAAACUCAACAUGGGAAAAGAUACAUAAAAGAGGUACUACUUGUUCCUGGAUUGGAUGAAAACCUAUUGAGUGUAGGGCAGAUGAUGGAGCAUGGUUAUUACAUUUUGUUUGGAGGUAACAAAGCAGUAAUAUUUGAUGAUGAAAGCCUUAACAAUGUUAUAGCCAUAAUGAUCAUGGGAGGAAAUUGAUGUUUCCCACUUUCACUUGAGUCCAUAACACCCACAACAAGGAAAGCUUCAGUGAUUGGGGAUUCCUGGAUAUGGCAUAGAGGACUGGGACACUUGAAUUUUACCAGCAUGAAGAAGAUGUAGCAGAAAGAGAUGGUAUGUGGGCUUCCUGUUCUGACUGAAGUAGAAGAUGUUUGUGUAGGCUGUGCAUCAAGCAAACAUCACAAGGAGAAAUUCGACAAAGAGCAAGUGUGGAGAGCAAGCUAUCCACUGGAAUUAAUCCACACUGAUCUGUGUGGACCAAUAUAGAAUGAAUCUGUGGGAGGGAACAAAUACUUCAUCACAUUCAUUGAUGAUUACUCAAGAAUGUGUUGGGUAUACUUCCUCAAAAACAAAUCUGAUGCAUUCAAUGUGUUUAAGAAAUUCAAAGCAUUCGUUGAGCUGCAAAGUGGAUAUAAACUAAAGAAGCUGAGAAGUGACAGAGGUGGUGAAUAUACUUCAAAUGAGUUUGAAGAAUUCUGUGUAAAACAAGGAAUGGAGAGGCAGCUGAUAAUUGCAUACUCUCCUCAACAGAAUGGAGUUGCAGAGAGGAGAAACAUAACAAUUUGUGAAAUGGCAAGGUCCAUGCUGAUAGAAAAAGAAAUGCCAGUAAUCUUCUGGGAAGAAGCUGUGAAUACAGUUGUGCAUAUUCAAAACAGAUGUUAUACAACAUCAGUUAUCAAAAAGACUCCAUUUGAAGCCUUCACGGGUAGAAAGCCAGGAGUCAAGCAUUUAAAUGUCUUCGGUUGCUUGUGCUACACUCAUAUCCCAUCAUCACUAAGGCAGAAAUGGGAUAGCAAAGCUGGAAAGGGAGUGUUUGUUGGAUAUGGUAGCUGUGAGAAAGGGUAUAGAAUAUAUGACCUGAAAACUGAGAAGAUUGUUCUCUCAAGAAGUGUGAUUUUCAGUGAAGAUAGAGCAUGGAAUUGGGAAAGAAAUCUGAUGAACCAAAGCCACUUGUCCUUCAAUCUUGAAGGAGGUGAAGUUGAAGGUGAAAAUUCUAAGGAACACUCUGCUGCAGUCCAACCCGAUAAUGUUGAACAUUGCAAUCAAAAUUCUACAGUUGGAGAGUUAGCUGAGAAGAUUGACAGUGAUAACAGUCAACAAUCUUCACCUAGCUCUACUCCAGUAAAAUUGAAAACCUUGGAAGACAUAUAUGCAAGGUGUCACAUGUGCAUCAUAGAACCUGAGAACUAUCAAGAAGCUUUUGGAGAUAAAGCCUGGCAGGAGGCUAUGAAGGAAGAAUUGGAAGUGAUAGAGAAGAACAAUACUUGGGAAUUGGUGGAGAGACCAAUUGAUAAACCUGUGAUAGGAGUGAAAUGGGUGUACAAAACUAAGCUUCAUCUUGAUGGAACAGUUCAAAAACACAAGGCUCGCCUUGUAGCAAAAGGAUAUGCACAGAAAUCCAGAAUUGACUACAAUGAAACAUUUGCACCAGUAGCAAGGCUAGACAUAAUCGGACUCUCAUUGCACUUGCAGCACAAAAGGGGUGGAAAUUGUUUCAAUUGAAUGUUAAGUCAGCAUUCCUAAAUGGUGUUCUUAAAGAAGAAGUAUAUGUUGAGUAGCCUGAAGGGUUUGAAGUAAAGAAUGCAGGACACAAAGUUUACAAACUAAGGAAGGCCUUAUAUGGACUAAAACAGGCACCGAGGGCCUGGUACAGUGAAAUUGAUGCAUAUCUUUCUAUGUGCAAAUUCAAAAGGAGCACAAGUGAGGCUACUUUGUAUACAAGGUCUGAUCGAGAAGGUAACUUAAUCAUUGUUUCAAUCUAUGUUGAUGACAUUGUAUAUACUGGCAGCAGUGAAAGGAUGCUUAGUGAAUUCAAAAAAGAAAUGAUGCAGAGAUAUGAGAUGUCUGAUCUUGGACUUCUUCAUCAUUUUCUGGGCAUGGGAAUACUGCAAACUGAUUAAAGAGUAUUCAUCCAUCAAAGCAAGUAUGCAAAGUCCUUGCUUAGGAAGUUUGGGCUUGAGGACUGCAAACCAGUCUCUAUUCCUUUGGUCACUGGUGAGAAACUGAAGAAGGUGGAUGGGAGUGAGUUGGCUGAUGAAGGACUUUAUAGAAAAAUAGUAGGAAGUUUACUAUAUUUGACAGCAACAAGACCUUAUCUGAUGUAUGCUGUAAGCUUAUUGUCAUAGUUCAUGACUGGACCUACCAAAAUUCACAUGGGAGCUGUAAAGAGAGUCCUAAGAUAUGUGCAAGGAACUCUCAGCUAUGGGAUUGAAUACGUAAGGGAUCAAGCAGCAACUCUUAUUGGAUUUUGUGAUGCAGAUUGGGCAGGAAGUGAAGAUGACAGUAGGAGCACCUCUGGUUAUGCAUUCAGUUUUGGAAGUGGAGCAUUCUCUUGGGCUUUUGUGAAACAGAACACAGUGGCAUUAUCAACUACAGAAGCUGAGUAUGUUUCAGCAUCUGAAGCAACAACUCAGGCAAUAUGAUUAAGAUUUGUUCUUGAUGAUUUUGGUGAAAUGCAAGCCGAAGCCACAACUUUGUUCUGUGAUAACAUGUCAGCAAUUUCAAUGGCUAAAAAUCCUGUCUUUCAUCAAAGAAUUAGACAUAUAAACAAGAAGUAUCAUUUCAUAAGAGAGGCUCUGCAAGAGGGAGUAAUAAAUAUAAAAGUUUGCAGAAGUGAAGAACAACUUGCAGAUAUCUUCACAAAAGCAUUGCCUAAAGAUAGAUUUAAGCAAUUAAGAUUGAAUGUUGGAGUUAAACUAGUAAGCAGCUUAAGAGAGGCCGUUGGAAGUUAAGCUGAUUACUUGUUGUUAAAGCUUCAAAAGUAAAUCAUGUGGUUAUAACGAGAAGAAUGAAUGAAAGAAGAAGAUUUUGUUGCAAAGUAGUUAUAGCAGUUAAAAAAUAGUUAAAGUAGUUAUAGCUAUUUUUUCUGUUACAAACCAUUUUUUACAUGUGUAAGAAUCGUAGCCCUUAACUAAUGGAUGGUUGAGAUGAAUUGAUUCCAAAAAUCUAGAAUUAUGUUAUUAAUUACAUGUAAUGUGUAAAUAAGUAGAAUUCUGUACUAAUGGAAUAGGAAGAAAAAAGAAAUACAUAAUUAUCUUCUCAUCUUCUCUGCUAAAACUCUUCUACAAACUUUUUUUUAGUCAUCUGAAAAUCUACAAAUUCAGACUUCGAUAAGAACAUCUAGGAAUCAAAAGCUUUCACACAUUCCACUCAAAAGAGUCCUUAAAACACAGUACUCGCAAUUUCUUCUAGUUCGAAAGAAAAUACCAUUGCUAAGAACUCUUGUCAAUGGAUCUCUUGUCGACUAAUAAUUUGGAAAUCACCACGCAUAAUAAGAAAAUGAAAGGUAGAAGACACAUCUUAAUUGGAUUAUCUUUCUCCUGACGAGUAUACGUAUACUCCACAGUCGAAUAAACACAUUGCCAAACAGCACCAGCCAAUCCAAAAUACUCAACAAUAGUGCCAACAGGCUUUCUAGUUGCGGAAGUAGAAGUUGAUCGGGGCUGAAAACAUGGCAAUAGGUUCAUGUCCGCCAGUUUAAUUCUUUCCUUUCGAGCCAUGUGAAUGAGUUCAACGGCAGCAAGAAGCAAAGCUACAAAUGCCAAGACCAUGCCAAUUAAUGCAUAACCCAUUUGGUCAAAAACCGCAGAUGCAAUCUCUAGGAUUAAGUUUGUCACCAGCAAAGUCCAUCCUGAUAUUUCCUGUACAAGAAAGUGGUUAGUUGUAAACAAGGCAGUUAAGAAAAUCUCACCAAUUAUCAAAAGCGUUGUUUCCAUAGUUCUUACUCUAGGACGUGAGCUUUCUCCAGCAUCCAGCAGCUGUUCUACCUCUACAGUAAUGUUCACAUGCUGCACAAUCCACAAUGACAUAAUGUAAGAUAAUUGAUAAUACACAAAACAAUACAAUUAUGACUGGCAGAAACUCAUAAUGUGAGAUUAUCUCAUCUACUACUAUAUAUCACCUGGUUCACAUCAUUAACAUUCAUCGAGUCGUCUUGGCUAGGGACAGAUGGAGCAAGAUUUUCAACACGAUUAUCUGCAAAGUUGGCCAAAUAUCCAUAUAUAGGUUGUGAUAUCAACCUUCGAAGAAUUAUUUCAAAAAGAAGAGAGACAAAAAAGAAUUCCAUGUGUUUAGAUAUAUAAUUUGCUUUCAUGCAUGAUUUAUUUUAAAUAUUAAAAAAUAAUAUAAAUUAAAGAAUAAUACUUAAUUUUUUUUUAUUAAAUUAAUUCUUUAAUAUAAUAUUAAAGUCUUAAUAGCAACAUACCAAUUGCUUGUAACUCUGGAAGAGGCUGCUGCGUCUUCCGCGAAGCUAAGGAAGGUAACUGCAUUAUCAAAACACAUUAAAUAUUUUUCAUGGAAGUCGUGGUGGGAAUUGGAAAAUUCUUAAAAUCAAGAGUUUCAAAAGAAAUAAAGUAUAGACCUUCUCCAUUAAAUUUUUAUUUGCAAUUGAUUGUUGAAAAGCCUGGUCAUUCCACGAACGUAACUCAGAAAACUGCAUGCAUCAUCAAAACAUCAAAUAUUUUUCAUGGAAGUCGUGGCGAAAAUUAGAAAAUUCUGAAAAUCAAAAGUUUUUCAAAAGAAUAAGAGCAUAGACCUUCUCCCUUAGAAAUUCUAGAACACUAAUCUGAGUUUGAAUCAGGCGUGCAUUUCUUGUAAGAGCCUGUAUCUGAGACAUUAGGGAUUUUAUUUACUUACCUGGUCUAACUGGGUCAACAAAGUGCGAUUUCUAUCGGGUUUUCUUCAAAUCUACAAAAAAAAAAAAAAGUUAGACACGAAUUGAAGGUACUUUUUCCAGCUGGCGCAAAUCAUUAUCGCUAAAUGACAACCAGCAGCCUGUUAGGCACCAACGAAUAAUAGGAAAGUUGAAGAGUUUCUUCAGUAUGCUAGGAUCUAAGAUUGAUGCCAAUACCACAAACCAGAAAUGCAUAUUAGGUAUCAUGUGACUCAAAGUAAUUGUUAAUAUUACAAUUAAAAAAUAAACUAUUAUGUUAUUAAAAACUAUGGUAAAAUUGAAUUUUAAUUUAAAUAUUAUUUUAUUUUAGGGAAUGUGAUUUCAACUGAUUUUCCAAACAGUCUUUUCUUGGAAUACCGCCGUAGGCUUUUUACAUUAUUUUUAAAAUGAUAAUUUUUUGAUUGUUUUUGAUAUUUUAAUCAGAUGAUAUUAAAAAUAAAAACAUAUUAAUUUAAUGUAUUUUUAAUUAAAAAAUAUUUUAAAAAAUAAAUAAUCAUAUUGUGAUUUUUUUAGUUAAAAAGAAGGUAUAGAAAUCAACGGUGAAGCAAAAACAUGAAUCAGAAACCACAUAUUUGAAAAUUAUUAGUAAACUAGAAACUAAUACGAUCACCUCGUCAGAUAAUGAUGUUGAUGGUGGAUGGAGGGAAUGGAGGGAUUGCUCAGGUUCACGUCGAUUACGUAGUCCAAGCGUCAGAACAGCUUCAUCUUUCUCUGGUUCCGUUGCCUCCCAUUUCACUUCUUCCUCUUCUAUUUUCAUGACCACCACUCUUUGUGCUUCCUCCGCGUAUCAGUACGUACUGAUGUCAGUGCCAAAACUAAUCACAACCGCAAGGAUAGGAUUAAGCAAAAUUAAUCACAUACAAAAUAGUAGGAUUUACCCUUCCCUUCUGUUUGCUCUCUGUAAUUGAAAAUCUGUUACCUGGUUUGAUAUCUAGCAGAUUCCUUGGGAAAACAAAUGAAAAGAGGUGUUACUCGUUUCUCCUUUUGAAGUCGAUGAAGAUCUAAAUCAUUAAUUGCUAGUUAGUAACCUAGCCAGAAGUCACAUGGAAACUUCUUAAGGGCUUCAUCUCCGCGUUAAUUCACUGUUUCUUGCAAGAUUGCCUUUGUAUCAUUGUCAUAAAGUGAGAGAGAAAAAAGUAGAAUUUGAUUCAAACAGUGUUAUAAUAAAGACAACGAAUAGAGAACAAAUACUUAAUAAAAGGGAGGGGAAUUUUUUGAAUACCCAACUUCCUCUCCGUUUCCUUCCCUUCGCUACAUGUCGGUUCGCAAUGAUAACAGGGGCAGUAGGAUCCUCCCAUCAUCCUUUCCUUUCAAACCAUGUGAAUGCGUUCAAACUUGGGUUGACCCACAACCCAAGCUUUGGGUGAGGACUAUUUCAAGAACGAAUUUUAUCGUUGAUAAAGUCGCCCUCUCUUCGUACUUGUACUUUUUACAGAAUGAUCAAGUUCGCUGGGUAAUGAUCAAGUUUUUUGUUGUGUAGAGUUUCCCUUCUAUUUGGAAGAUGGUCAUGUGAGGAUGGUCUAUUUAUUUAUGUUAGAUUAAAUCCAAAUCCAUCAAGUUUCGAUUAAACACUUCCAUCAUAGUCGUCGUCGUCAUGGUUCGAUUGAGUUGAAAUCUUGCAGCCACACUAACAACACGAGGCUCUAUAAUCUGAUCACUGUAGAUCGAAUGGUACUUUUGUUGGUGAGCAGUAGCAACUAUUUUGUGGUGGGAUGUUUAUAGAAUCUCUUAUAAUUUUGUUUUGUUGCCAGAAAAUUAUUACAUCUCUAAUCCUAUUUAAACAGAACAGUUGCAGCCCAUUGUUCACAGUGGGAAUUUUGGAGGUUUCGUAAGAACCUUGUCUCUGUUUGUGAUUGAUUUGGGUUUCCCAAAUCAAUCUACCAUUUCUCUCAACACCGUAUGCUUUGGUAUAUAGCCAGCUUUAUUAUUUUAUUCUAGUCAUGGUUAUAAAACUUAAAUUCCUAGCGGGUUGAUUGAGGAUGUGAUUGAUCUCAGAUUUAGAUUAAUUUGAGUAAAAAAAAAUAAAAAAAUAAAAGGUACCCUAGUUUUUCAAAACUCAACCCUCAAUUUAUUUAAUUUUUUAUUUAAAAAAAAAUUAAAAAUAUACUCGAGUUCAUCCUCCUGACUUGUAACUUAAAUCUUAUUCAAAUCAAUUUUGAAAUUGAAUUUUAAAAUUGUAAUAAUGGUGAAAACCGAUUGAAUUUUAUACUGUUGGAUUUCAAAGCUGUUCUAGUGAUGCAACCGAAUGAAUUUUAUACUAUUUUAGGUUUGGAGCAAAUUAUCUUUCACUAAUCUUUUAUAUUAUUAGAGAGAAUUAAGUAACUGAGGUGAAAAUGACACAUAUAUGCAGACUGCAAUUCCUAGUUUAGUAUCAUCGGUGGAAUCAAUGAUUCGUUUUUUUCUUUUGGCUCUCAUUGCUUUGGAACAACCAAUCAAAGCCGUUCGGCAUUGUUUUUUCCGGUCUCCAAGAUGUUCUUUUUUCAGAUCACACUUUGUCUUUCACAUUGACUUUUACCUAUCAAAUUUCCUUUCUAGUUUUGGCAAGUAUGGCUAGAUCCCGAUGGAUUUAGUGAACUUUCUCAGCACCUCGCUGUGCUGGUUCGGUUGAGCCAAAGCUAAGAUGGUCUCAAGUCUCAACUUACAUAGGGUGCAUCACAUCAAUGGACAGUCAAACUGCCAAGAAGCAGCUCCAAACAGGAACUUUCAGCCUUGUAGAUGUACCGAAUCCUGAUGUUGAGAUGCUCCAAAGGAAGCACUACAUGGAACUAGUCCAACUGACAUGCAUCAUGGCCUCCAUAAUUGGAAGAGCACGUCAACAUGACCUAUCAUUUCAUUAGUUCAUUCACGGGGGAGGGUUUUAUUUUCUAUACUGUAAAACUUCCUGCAUAAUCACUUCAGGACAUAAAUAGAAUCGAAGGGUGUAGGGAGGCAUCAAGGUGAUCAAGAUUCUUGUUGCAUAGUCUUAAACAAAGUUUUGGAUAGGUUGGUAUUGGACAAAAUCUAGCAUCUUCGUAACACCCAAUAUUCUCUAAACACCACAUUAGGGACUCAUGUCUUUACUGAAAAAUAAAAAUAAAAACUACAAGUUGUCAUGAUUUUGUAAAGCAAACUGAUGUCCUUGAUAAGAGCAAGCCAUUUGAAUAAUCUCCCAUUUUUUGCUUGCAAAAUCUAGUAAGCUGAAACUAGUUGGCAAUUUGCAUGAUGCUAUCAUCAAUUUCCUUUUGAUAAAGUGAUUGAAAAGGAGAGGAAUUAAGUUAGAGAGACAGCUCGUUAAUUGACUUAACAUUGCUAGAGUAUAAAUGUUUGAGCUGUUCGAUAUUGCAAUAUCAUGAUCAAGUUAUUAGGUAACGUUUUCUGAUGUUUUGAAGGAAGUUCAAGAUCCUUUCAAGCCAUUUUAUCAUUCUUCUAGAGAGCUUUUUCGUACCCGAGAAGAAUCGUUAAACGUUUCCGGAUGUGUUCUACAUUUUCACUUUCGUCUAAGCCUUGCAAUGGGGCAGAUAAUGGCAAGUUCUUGCGCUCAAAAUCCUUGGUUACAAGAGCAAGAGCUGAAGUGCUCGCAGCUCGUAACCAUUUCAAGUCAACAGUUGCAAGAAUUUCAAAAAGCGAGUCCUGAAGUUGGAGAGCAAGAGACAAGUAGAGUUUGUGAAGAAAGGUGUCAUUGACUAUAUUGUCCCUCGAAAAUCUGCAGAAGGACAUGUGAUCGAAAGUGCUUGGCAAAACAUAGAUAUUGCCAGAAAAGCUGAUUCAAGAAUGGUGAUGAACAAUUAAUCAUAUUGUUUUGGAAUUCUGCAUUUUGUUUUGGGAUCACAUCUCAUCCUUCAACGAAACAUGCCUUGCUUUUGUCUCUUUGUUGUUUUGAAAUCAACAGAUGUUUAACAUUUUAUUCUGACAAAAUAUUUUGAUCAAACUCCAACAUACGAUAAAGGUUAAUCAAUCCUGAAGAUUAAAAGUGUUUUGAUUAUAGAAAUGACUCAAUGCUUAUUGAAAUGACAUGAGGUGACCAAAACAAACUUUGAGCCCUUGCAUGAAAUUGAACCACACAUCAUAUAGCUAAGUUUUAGCAGUAUGCAUAAUGACAUGUAGUGGAUUCUGUAGUUAUGGACUCGUGAAUCAUGAUUCUUACAAGUCCCAAUCAUUACACUGGAUGGGGUCAAAAUUUAUCGGUUCUAACCGACCUUGCUUGAAAUGAGAAAAGGCCAUCUUUGAUAUCCCUUCACUUUCUAAAGAUUAUAUCCCUUGUAAUCCCAUUUUGAGCUGGAUAGAAUAUUCUUUUCGUAAAAACCCUGACUUGGAUCACACCCCACACUGGGGGCAAAUGAGAGAUAUUUUGAAGAUAUUGAUAUAAUUAAUGGAUAAAGAGGAAGGCUUAGAACAAAACUCCAAUGAUUGAGAGAGAGCUAAAAGAAAACACGUGGACUAUAGCAUAUAAGGAAAUUUUGAGGAAGGCUAUGAGAAAGCGAAGCGAAGCAAAAAAGAAAAAAAAAAGAGAAUGCCUAUCAAGUCUAGGAAGAGCAAAAGAAAUUUCAAUCUAUACCAGAAAAAAAGACUUAGCUAUAAAUGUGACUUUUGGUAUCCAUUAUAAAGCCUAUGAUGUCAUCAGAUGAUUAAGGUUGGUUAUUCAUCAAGGAAAGGGGGAUUUGCAUUAUGACCUAUGUUAAGAAGAAUUGUGAUAUUUGAGAUUAACAAGGUUAUAUGUCACUUUCUCUACAAUGACGACAAGAGAAAGAGAAUCGAUAAAUAGUUAAUGUUGAUCCUAAGUCGUUGAAACCGUCAAACACCUUUUGAGCCUUUGAAAUUCUUUUCUUUCAUAGCCAUGAACCAUAGCCUGCAUUACGUGCCUUUAAAAGUCCUUUUUAAUCAAGCAAGCAAUUUGAAUUGAUAAAUGGCGCUCUCGAAACUUGAAGAGCUUUUCCAUAAGGGUCGUUACUUCAUGAAUUAAGCUACUAGUUAUUAUGCAUGUUGAUAAAAUAAAUGCUAAGAAAAGAAACAACCUUUCUUGAUAAAGCCUGAGUAUCUUGUUUUUGAAAUCCAUAAAAAUGUCACCUCAUCACAGACCAUCAAAAGAUAUACCCAAAAUCAGAGUUUAAAGCGGACACAAAGAACCAUGGAAAAGACCAUUUUAAUCUUACAAAGAGUCGAUUGCUUUUUUCAAAAUACAAGACAAUCGAAGGAUUACAUUGGAUGAAGUGUGUUGAUCAAAGAAGCUUGAAUUUCAAAAAUACUUUUCAAAAACUGAUAUCUCUCUGAUUUCAUUUCAACAAUUAGACUUGAAUAGACAUGACCUUUGAAGUAUGAGAUUUGAUUCUAGAACAAGAAAGAUUGUCAAACAAAGAAGAACAUUCAUUGAGUUUGCGGAAUCCUUGACCUGAAAUGACAUCAACUCUUCUCAAAACUCAUUGAAAGGUUGAACACCUGGGGGCAAUACAGUGGACCCUAAGAAGGAAAACAGACAGUAUCUAGAUCAGCUGGGGGCAAAGAAAGAAUCAGAUGAUGAGUCAUCAAAGUCCCAGAAAGUUUUAACAUCUGACAAUGAUAAAGAAAAACCUUCUUGAGUAUAAACCGAUGAACAAACCUUCAGAUCAUAUUGGGGGCAAUGUUGUUCAAAGACAAUCCACGAUCUAAUGCACUUCAGCAGCAAUUGAUGAGCAACGCUGCACUAGAAGGAUAUUUUCAUAUCUUCAUCUUGGUUUAUCAUCUUCAACAUGGUUAUGACUUUUGAUCGAUGUUAUCACAUAGUUGCAUGUGCAUGAAUGUUGGAGGAUGCACCCACCAAGACUGACUGUGGGACCAUUUGUUUUGAAGCUCAAAUGCACACUUCACCGCAUGAAUAUGGGUGAUAACAUAAAACAUCAUUGAUGAUGCCAAUACAUUUCUUUUCAAGAUCUGAUUAGAUGGGUGAGAAGAACUUUUUGAGGAAAACAUUGAGCAUACAACGAUGAGGCUUUCACUACAAGUUGUGAGAUCCAUGUUUGGAUGACUUGGUAGUUUCUGAGAAGGUUGAUGAUAACAUAUACUUGAAAAGUAUUGUUUCGAAUGGAGGCAUUUUCAGACUGAUUAACAAUCUUGAUGGGUGUUGGCAUGAUACACACAACCAAUCAGAAGAUAAUUCCCAGAAGAAUCUAAGAGAGAACAUCCUUCAUAAUAAAUCAAGCAACACCACACUUGGGGGCAUUGUCAAGCUUGAUGAACCAACGAGCAGUAAUCGUCGAAGACAUCCUAAGAUAUGCAUUGUAUAUACAGCUGAAUAAUGGCCAGCACAUGAAUGAGCCAAUGCAUCGAAAGAACAAAGAAAGCUUUGGAAUGCAAACAAGGGCACCCUACUGUUGUAACCCAUUUUUGGGUCCCCACAUAAAAAAAAAUAUAUUAUCAAAAAAUAUAACAGUGAAAAAAUGCCAGAGCGCCCUAAAAAUGUUCAAAAAUUGAUUGAGGAUGUUCAAAAAUAUAAAAAUUAAAUUUUGACAGUAUAUCAUUGACUGAUGAGAGCCCCGAUGAUAAAGAAAAUUCAAUUUGAGGAAGAAAAAUGCAAAAUUAGAAGUUUAUGGACUCAAUUAAAUUUUAUUGAAGGUUUAAUUGAAUUUAUAGAGGUUUUAAUUGCAAAAACAAUUGAUUUUGGAGUUAUUUUGGGCUUUAAUUGAAAGAAAUUAAUUUUCUGGGGUCAAAUUAUAAUUUUUGGAAGUUAAUUUGGUCAAAUCAGGGGCUUAAUUGCAUAAAUAUUGAAGUUUAAUGGCCAAUUAGGGACUAAAUUGAAGAAAUCCGAGACCAAGGACGAAAUUGUAAAACGCGCGUAAAUUGAGGGCCUUCUUUGAAAUCUGACGCGUUUUGGCGCCUUUUCUUUUAAAUGAAACGGCGCGUUUUGACCAAAACGGCGCCGUUUCAUUCACUGUUGCAAAAAAAAAUAAAAUUCAGAAGCCCAAAACGGUGCCGUUUUGAUGGCACUGUAGGUCUUCUUCUUCCCCUGGACGCGCGAGGCAGGGGAAGAAGAAGAUUUUUCUUCUCCCUUUUCGCCUAACUUCUUUCCCCGUUUUUGCGCAAUAAGACGCCCACCAUUCGGCGCCCACUUGCCUCCUUUUUCUCCACUGAUCGAUAGUGGAGGGGGCGGCCAACAGUGGCCACCCCACCGUGACGUCCUUCCCCUGUUUUUGCCUAUAAAAACAGGGGAAGCAGACCGAAGAAAGGAGAGGAGAAGAGAGGGAGAGAAGGGGAGGAUUUUAACGACAGAAAGAGAAAGAGAGAGGCGAGAGAAACAAAACGAAAAAACAGAAAAAAGAAGAAGAAAGAGACGCGACAGAGGAGAGAACAAGAAAAAAAAACAAAGAGAAAGAGAGAAGGAGGACCGCCGCUAGAACCACCGUGACAGCAGCACCGCCUCCGCCAGAACCGCCUCGACGCCACCCCGGGUACCCUCCUGCUCCCCGAUCAUUUUCUUCUCCUGCUGCCCCGCCUUGCACUUGCAUGCAGAACGUGAAUAAUUCACGUUCUGCUGCAAAAUGCAGCGUGGGCUGGGCCGUUCAGCCCAGCCCAUGUAAAUGGGCUUGGCCGGCCCAGCCCAUGCAUUUGGGCCGGGUCCGGCCCAUAUAAUUUUUAUUUUUAUUAUUUUUUUGUUUAUUUUUUUGUUUUUUAUUUUCAUUUUUUGUUAUAUAUUUAUUUUCCAGCACAUUUCUUUUAUCAAUGUUUAUUUAAUAUCAGUCUGUUUUUUAUAUCACAAUAACAUAACUCCGGUAUUCAAAUACCCGGUUUUCGUCCAACAGUAUUGUUCACACGACACUAUUUACGGAACUGUUCACACAUGCAUAAAAAAAACAAAAAUAUUUGUUUCAGCAUUUUAUCGUAAACGAACCAACAAUUCAAAAACCACAACACGAUUUUAGAUUUUAUUAGACAUUAAAACAAUGCAGCCUACCUUAGGUAGGGCGUAGUUGGGGUGCUAAUACCUUCCCUUUACGCAACCAGUCUCCGUACCCGAUCUCUAAAGACCAGUUAAGGUUCCUAGUAACCAAAAAACUAGGUGGCGACUCCCAUUUCAAUUUUUCACUUGUAGAGACAAGAAUUUCCUUGUCUCUCUCCCUAUUUUCAAGGAAUAAAUAUUCCGAUUUUUUCCUUGAGGGUGGACGAUCACCGCGCCGCCGCACACGGGCAACACCUACGACGACGGAGCAUCAAAGAGGGGGGGCCUAUAUUUCAAAUCAGGUAAGAAUGCAUGCAUAUCAUAAAAAAAAAACAAAAAAAACAAAAAAAACAAAAAAAAAACAUUUGCACAUAUUUUUGAAUUGUUACAGGAAAGUCCUUAAUGAAGUCCAGCAAGAUGGUGGAAAAAGAAAGAAGCAUUGUGGUGAUGAUAAUAAUGAAUCGGUUUUAAUCAUGGAAUAAAAGGACGAUGGGAUGAACCCUACCAUUAGGAAAAUCCCAAAGAAAUGAAUACAUCAACCUUGCAAUCGGGAAGCCUCGAGUUUUCAACCCUUGCAAUCAGGAAAUACCAAUUUUCAAGCCCUAUGAUCGAGAAUUAUCAGGAAGCACCAAGUUUUUCAGCCCUUCUUCUGUCAUCCCCUCAGGACUUGGCCAGGUAAGUCCUAUUUUUCACUUGUCAUAUCACAUUCUUUCUAUUUGGGUAGGUCGCCCAUCACAACGAGACUGUUUUUUCAUAUUUUUUCCAUCCGGGUAGGUCACCCAUGACAAUGAGACCGCACUUCAUCAUAUUUUUUCCAUCUGGGUAGGUCACCCAUUACAAUGAGACCACACUUCAUAUUUUUUCCAUUUUUGGGUAGGUCACCCAUCAUAAUGAGACCGCACUUCAUAUUCUUUCCACCUAGGUAGGUCACCCAUUACAAUGAGACUGUUUUUUUUCACAUUCUUUUGUUUUGGUUAAAUGAGGUCGCCAAAUGGGAUCUCAUGUAGCUUUGGUUAAAGGGAAUCGCCAAAUGGGAUUUCAGGUUGACCGAGCUACACACAGUUUUAGUUCCAGUUUGAAUGAGGUCGCCAGAUGGGAUCUCAUGUAGCUUUGGUUAAAGGGAAUCGCCAGAUGGGAUUUCAGGUUAACCGAGUUACACAUAUUUUCGUUCCAGUUUAAUGAGGUCGCCAGAUGGGAUCUCAUGUAGCUUUGGUUAAAGGGAAUCGCCAGAUGGGAUUUCAGGUUAACCGAGUUACACACAGUUUAGUUCCAGUUGAAUGAGGUCGCCAGAUGAGAUCUCAGGUAGCUUUGGUUAAAGGGAAUCGCCAGAUGGGAUUUCAGGUUAACCGAGUUACACAUAUUUUCGUUCCAGUUGAAUGAGGUCGCCAGAUGGGAUCUCAGGUAGCUUUGGUUAAAGGGAAUCGCUAGAUGGGAUUUCAGGUUAACCGAGUUACACACAGUUUAGUUCCAGUUUAAUGAGGUCGCUAGAUGGGAUCUCAUGUAGCUUUGGUUAAAGGGAAUCGCCAGAUGGGAUUUCAGGUUAACCGAGUUAAACAUAUUUUCGUUCUAGUUGAAUGAGGUCGCCAGAUGGGAUCUCAUGUAGCUUUGGUUAAAGGGAAUCGCUAGAUGGGAUUUCAGGUUAACCGAGUUACACAUAUUUUCGUUCCAGUUGAAUGAGGUCGCCAGAUGGGAUCUCAUGUAGUUUUGGUUAAAGGGAAUCGCCAGAUGGGAUUUCAGGUUAACCAAGUUACGCAUAUUUCGCUCCAAUUGAUGAGGUCGCCAGAUGGGAUCUCAGGUAAACCCAAUUAAAAGGGCAGGUCGCCCGUGAAAAUAGACCAGUGUGAGUGUGGGUCGGUCGCCCGUGAAAAUAGACUAGGGUGAGUAUGUGUGGGCAGGUCGCCCGUGAAAAUAGAUCAAUGUGAGUGUGUGGGCAGGUCGCCCAAGAUAAUGAAAUCAUUUUCCUUUUGUUUUCUUUACAAAGCUUACUAUGCAAAAUUUUGAGGAGUUUUGCUUCGUAAGCAUUGUAAAGAGGGGGCAUCUGUUGCUACCCAAUUUUUGACCCAUGUUUUGAUAUAUUUUCAAAAAAUCCAAAAAGUUGAGAAAAACAAAGAAAAUCCAAAAAAUAUGUUUUUUUAAUAUAUUUUCGUCAUUUUAGCAUUUUCAACGUCGUCUAAAAAAGAAUUUAAAUUGUUAAAAUAUUUUCAAACGCGUUCGACUUUUCACGCGUCAUUUUUAAAUCAUUGAUUUUCCGCAUUUGAGUCGACGUUGAUAUUGCUCGUUUUCGAAAAAUACAAAAAAAUAAGAAAAAUCAAAAUUUACAAAAAGAAAGAAGUUGAGGGACCAAGUUGAAAAACCUAGCAAAAGUUUUCCUAUAAAUAUCAUGCUAAACUGAUUUUUGAAGGGGGGGCAUUUUAGAAACAUCAGAAAAUACAAAAACAAACCCUAAAUCCAUCUCUAACAAGGGAGCCGCCAGCCUCCACAAUUGAAUUUUUUUCUACACUGCAAAAAACGGCCACACAGUAGCCCCCCCGGUUUGAAUCUCUCCAAUCCCCGGCCGUUCCUUUUUCCGUCAACCCUUCCACCGCCAGUGACAGAAACAACAACAGCAGCCGAGGUCCUCCACCACAGAGCCAUUUUUGUCCUCUCGCCAGCCAAAGUUUUCGCAUCCCCUCACCUGACAUUGUUCCCCGAAGCCAUUUACAGCCUUCUUCUCAACCAAAAAACCAGAGGCUCAAGCCCCCCCGGUUUUCCCCAUUGCAACGAACCGGCAGCAGAUCCAGCCGAAGCCCCCUUGCUCAGCAGCGUCUUCUUCUCCUCUCAAUAGCAGCGCCUCCACCCAAAUCAACCCGCAGCUCCGGCGCUUCCCGGGUCUUCUCCCCUCAGCCGAAGCUUCCCUUUUCCUGUUGAAGACGAUCGCUGCUUCCCCAGCUUGGACCCGUGGGUUUCUUCUCCUCACGUCGCCUCAGCAGCAUCGUCUCCUUCUUCGGCCGAACAGCGCCAUCCACACCGUCCGCCAGCAGCGCCGUCCAUAGAUCCACCAUCAGCCAGCAGCACCGCCCGAUCUGCAACCGGCACCAGACCCUCUCCUCUCGGCGAAGCCCUAGGAAUAGACCAGGGAACGAAGAACAUGAAGCAGAUAAUGAUGGAAAGCAAAGGAAAACAGAUCGGAAAAAUUAAUUAAAACAGAUUGCUUGUGGGUUUUCUUUUGGUUGCAGGUGACGGUGGUCUUCACCGCCGGUGAGGAGAGGAAGAAGGAGAGAAGCCGAGCCUGAUCCACCCUGUCCCCUGUUUUGUAUGCGGCGGCGCGUGAACCCACGCGCUGCUAGUGGCGGUGGCGCGUGGGAAGACGCGUCGUCACUGUUCCCAGCACUGUUCCGAUGGUGCAGAAGGUCUUUAGUGCAAUUUCUGGAGUUUUAGGGACUAUUUUGUAAUUUUUUUAAUUAAUUAAUGUAAUUUUUAUUUAUUUAUUUUGUAUUUGUAUUUGUAUUUUGUAUAGUGGAUGUAAAAGAAAAGAAAAGAAAAAGAAAAGAAACAAAAAUAGUGAAAGUGUAUGUAUGUAAUUGUAUUUUGUUUUAUUUAUUUGUAUAUAUUUUUAAUGAUAAAAUUGCAAAUAUAUUAAAGAAGAAUUUAAUAUUUUGAUCGGAUUACGGUUAAGAAUUAUUAGCUUAUACGUAAGUGAUAUUUCUAAUUUCCGAUGAAAAGACAAUUAUUAAAACUUCUUUAACACGUCAAAGCCACGAAGCAGCUUACCUCAGGUAGGGUGCGUUAGGGGUGCUAAUACCUUCCCUAACCAUAACCAGUCCCUUACCCGCGAAUCUCUGACGAGACCAGUACAUCCGGUUUCCUAGUAGCCCGCAAUCAAUUACUAGGUGGCGACUCCAACGAAUCAAAUUCAAGAAAACGCUACAACGAUAAAAAAUCGUCAGCCGAUGCCGCUCGCUGAUUUUUUUUUGGGGUGCGACAUUUGUUAUGGUGUUCUUCCCCUACCGGCCGGUCACCUUUUUUACUGGGUUUUUUUCACUCUGUCUCAGCAAGUCUUUAAUUUAAUGUUUUUAUGUGAUAAAUAUUUUGAAAAACUAACGGAUUAAAUAUAAGUUUCAUGGCUAAAGCAACCAUGGAUCCGAUAGAGAGAGCAAGAGAAAUCUCGAAGGCA